UUAAAAAGUAAUUGAUUGUAAACUUUUUUUGUUUGUUUUAUUUUAAUUCUGUUUUAACAGAUAUGUCCAGUGGCUGAGGGCUCUGGAACCAAGAUGGAUGCACAAAAAAAAAAAAAGAACAUCCAGAAAAGGGAUUUGGGCCAGACACUGAAUUCCACCUCAUUUUCUCCUCUGCUUGUGACACCUCUGCACUGCUCUCGAUCGUCUUAUAAAGCUCCUGGAGAGCUAAUUGGUGUUGAGUACCUCUACUCCCAGCAGUGCAAAGAACUGAGGGGGACAUCAGCUAGUACCCAGAUGCUUUUGAUGCCACCCCAGAUGAGGCGGGUGGGAUGAAAAAGGGUUUGACACGGUUGGGCAGAGAGGAGGAAAGAUUGACCCCACAGUUGCACUGCUUUCUGGUUUCCAACCCCACCAUGGAUUGCCCUCCAGAUGUUCUCCACCAGUGGCUCCAGCAGAACCAGUGGCUCCUACUCCUUCUCUGACCCAGUCCUUCAGUCCCCAGUAGCUACAUUAGGGGUGGAUGACAGCAAUAAUGUAAGUUUAGAUCUCAAUAUUUUUAAAAACACUCAUGUCUAAGCAAUGUAAAUUUGAAUUUAAUUCUUUUGUUUUUUGUUUAUCUUGUCAAGUAGUCAUAGUCCCCAAUAGAGCACCGGGCUACAAUCAUGUGGUCAGGCUGGCCAGGUACCUGGUGGGGCUGCAUGACUAAACUGGUCUCUCUUUGAGUCACUUUGCCAAAAUAAUUAGCCUUUGGAAGUCUCUGCCAGAGGCUGACAAGCAGCGUCUCUCCUACUUGCAGAGACACAGGGAGCGGCUUCUACAGGGGCGGUUUAAGGCCAGCCAUUCAAAGAGCACCACAUGCAGUGGAACAGAAAGCCUGAAACAGUAAGGGCAUCACACAUACUUACUAAAAUUUCAGUCAUUAUAGAGUUUGCUCUUUAAUGACUGAUAGGACUGGAUAAAACUGUAAGCGAAACAAUCUCAACAGUCUCCUAAUAUACAACUGAUUCAUUUUUAAAAACAGCACCGAAUUCGAUUUAAUAUACCAAACUUGUCUGUUUUUUGUGCGUUUUUCUUUGUAGCUGUUUGAUGGGCCAAGGCUUAGGGCCGGCGCAAUGGCUGAAUGCAGGCCACCUAGUUGAGACCAUUUGCCUGGAGCUGUGCUUUAUUCAUCCUAGUGGCAGAAAGCUGAUGGGCUUCAGGACAAACCGGUGGGCUGUCAUCCUGGAUGACUUUGGCAGGAUACGGAGUCUGACUUUGAACAGCCCUGGGCUCAUGGGAGCAAGAUGGCUUCAACUUUUUUAAAAUCAACCAGCGCACUCUCUCUCUGUGGUAA
rnacentral:lncRNA from 1 species